UCCGGUUUAACACCGGCAGUCUCCUUAGAGUGCCCAACUUAAUGAUGGCAACUAAUGGACAAGGGUUGCGCUCGUUAAAGGACUUAACCCAACAUCUCACGAUACGAGCUGACGACAGCCAUGCAGCACCUGUACCACCAGCCCCCGAAGGGGAAGUCCCAUCUCUGGGAUUGUCUGAUGUUGUCUAAUCCAGGUAAGGUUUUUCGCGUUGCAUCGAAUUAAACCACAUGCUCCACCGCUUGUGCGGGCCCCCGUCAAUUCCUUUGAGUUUUAACCUUGCGGCCGUACUUCCCAGGCGGGGUACUUAAUGCGUUAGCGUCGACACUGUAGGGGUCAAUUCCCACAACAUCUAGUACCCAUCGUUUACGGCGUGGACUAC
rnacentral:misc_RNA from 1 species